UUUGUCUACUUUGAAUCUCUCACGGGCACUAUUAAUUUCAGUAUUUCUUGAGGAAUUCCUUUUACGCACUGUUUGGUUGCUUAGAAAUUGGGGAAAACAAGAAAAGAAAAGGAAAAUUUUGAUAUACUUGUGUGUUUUCAUUUUCCUUUGCCUCAUUCUUAAUUAGUGACCUUACUCUCUGGAUGCAAUCCAUAUAGAAUGAUAGCUUUUACUUUACCUUCAUGCAAUAGAGAAUUUAUUCCUACCUAGGUGUAAUCAGAUAAAAAUAAAAUAUUAAUAUAAAUAUCACUGACAAUGAUAAGAAUAAUAAAAUUCUUCUUGCUUCCACAAUAAAUCUAGUUGCAGUGAUCUUUUCAAAUGAAACUACAAAUCUCAUAAAACUUGAUAUACCAUUUUAUAGAUCAUUGAAGUUUUAGAUUGUGAAUGGUCUUUGGCUGGUUCAUACAAAACUUGUGAAUAGACCAUAUGUAUGUUGGCCAUAUAUAAUUUAUUUGACAUUGUAUAUUGUAAUACGCAGUAAUAAAGCCAAGUUAGGACCUUGAAGGUUGUUUCAAUUAAAUAUAGAACAUAAUUUUUGGACUUAUAAAUAGGUCCUAAAUUCACAUUUUAGGUUGAAAGUAUGAUGAAAACUUUCUCUGAUGUUCUGCAAAGAUUUUUUACAUAUAGCUUGAAUUUCUAUUGAUAUUGCAACUAGGAUGAGUGAUGUAGAGAGAAUGAAAUGAAGCAAUCCAAGUUCAAGAGGAUUUGUGUCUUCUGUGGGACUAGCCAUGGCAAGAAGAGCAGCUACCAAGCAAUCUACAUUUGUGUCUUCUGAAGAAGAAUUAUUUUUAUUGGUUUCUCUCGUCUUAAUAACUAAAUUCAAAUAAUGGGGAAAAUAAAUGGUAUAUUGGCUUGAGGUGAUGCUUAUCAGUGUUGGCUUAAAAUCUCUGUGAAUCAAGAAACCCCUUUGUAGAAUAUGCAGUGCAAUAUGCCGUAGCAGCAGCCCUUGCGACAUUGGAAAAGGAUAAGAAGGAUUUGUUACACAAACUACUUUUACAAGGUCUUGACAUUACAAUCUUAGGUGGCAAUGACUUCUAUUCAUAUCGGAAUCAGGUGGAGUUUAUCAUGUGAGAUUGGAAAAGGGAAAGUUGGCAGUGGUUUUGAUGUUAGUUCUGCAGUUUAUGGUAGUCAACGAUAUGUUCGCUUUUCACCAGAAGUGCUUUCUUCUGCUCAGGAUGCUGUUUUUUUGAAUGAAUAAAAUUGCAGAAUGUAGUUAAAGGAAAAGCGUUAGAGGAAGUCAUUGGUGAUGUGCUGAAUGGAAAAUGGGACCAUGAGAGGACUACAUAUUGAAUUUGAAUCCCUUAGUAGUUGGAUUUUUCGGCUCCAAUGGAGCAGAUUUUGGAUAGACUGCAGGCAUUUGGUGAAUUUGAGUUCAAACAUUUUGGGGACAAGGUUAUUGUUGAGGAACAAAUAGAGAGGGGAUAUGAAUGAGAUAUUUCGUGGCAGUUCAUUUCUUGAAUUAAGAAGUGCAUGAUUUUAUCCUCUGGAAAAUAGCUCGCUUGAGGUCUUUCUCGUCGGAAAUAGAAAUAAUGCAUUUUUUUAUUUUUAAUGCAUUUUAAUUUUUGACAUGUGUAUGUAUAUUCUCUCUCUCGCUCUCUCUCUCACACACACACCCACACACUUUUUUGAAGUAUUAUGUUGAUCAAUAAUACCAUACUUGCUUCUUGAAACUAACAUUUGAUGGUUAAACUUUCAUUUGUAAAUUUUUUUAGAAUUGCAUAAGUUAAUGUUACAUGCCUUAAAUGCAAGCAACAAGUACGGUAGGACAAGAUUAUUUGUUGUUUAUCUUUGAAA